UUGUAGUUAUUGUGAGUGCUGUUGUCGUCUUUAUGUAGCCUUUUCCUGUCUCAUUUUAGCUCGUUUGCAUCUCUCUGUGGUUGUUUGAAGGCAGUUUGGUCCUUUACUUUUCUCUUUUUAGCUAUUUUCCAUCUGUCGGUCAUCAUUUUGGGGUCCGUGUUUGUGUUGUUUUGUGUCUUUGUGAUCGUUUGCAUCUUUUUGUGGACAUUUUCAGAGUCUUUGUGGUCGUGUUGCGGCUCUUUUUUGACAGUUGGCAUCUAUUUUUUCUUUAUUUUUUCAGAGACAGAGCAGUUCAGAGUUUAUUACACUUUUUAACACACGAACAAGUCAACGUUCUGAUUCCUGAGUUCACAGAUGAGAAACCUUCUGAUGAAGAGUUAAACAUCUCAGGUCUUCGUCCUCUCGUGUGUCGGGCUGUAAAUGGGUUUUUUAUUCUAUUUCUGCAGCUCCUAUCGAGCCUCCACGUCUUUUCUAAGUUGGGGUGUUUGUACGUUUCGUUUUGGGAUUCUCCGCUGAUUGCUGCUCGCGUCGCAGCGCCGCAUUAUCUCCGUUCAUCCUCCGCUGCUCCUCGUCCCGCCAAAAAGCCUCUUUGGGAUCCCGCAAUGAAUCCCCGUUUGGCCGGAGGUAAUGGAUUCGUGCUCCUCUUCCUCUCCGGGAUCCAGAAACCCAACAUGGCAGCAGCAGAGGGCCUCGUCCCUCAGCGCUCUGUCACCCUUCAGAUAUCAUCCCCACCCCAGUCGCAGCCUGAAAGCCCCUUUUCUCCUCCUCCGCCGCCUGAAACGGGGCUCCGACAAAUUUGAUUUAGCAGCUCGCGGCCGCCUUAUUCCCGGGGAAAGAAAACAAAUAUUGUUAUAAUGGUAAUAACAUCUAUUUGGAGCGCCGGCGACAAACGGCGGCGGGGCCCUUUGAAGGAGACCCCUCUGCGCCGCCGUAUAGCUGCCUUAUUCUUAUUCAUGAAAGCCGCGGUUAUGCAUAUUAGCGCAAACUAGCUAUUCUACUCACCGGCAUUUGGUGUGUCAAUCAUCCUUACAGAAUACAAGAGCCAACGGUGACAAAAGCGGAGUGGGCAAGAUCGGCUGACAAAUUGUCCCCAAAGUCAAAUUUGACAGCCUUUUAUGAUUAAUGGGCUUGAUUAUGGAGAAGUAUCUCCCCGAACUCAUUUCCGGGUGUUUCUGUUGGACGGAGAGGAGGAGGAGGAGGAAGGCAGAUUGUCUGUGGAGGUGAAUGAGGGAGAGAAAAGAGAGAAGCUGGAUUGAAUUAGCGGCGGUGAAAAGGCAGAGCGAGGAGGAGAAGGUGGAGUGUGAGGUCUCACACUUAAUAAACAGCAGAUAAGAGAGGGAGAGAGAUCAGCGCUCGCCGUUAGCGCUUGCUGCUAAUAGGAAGCUGCAGACUGGAGCUACUGCUGACGGACCGACAUGACGGAAAAGAUUCACAACCGGCUGGAGGAUCUGUCUGCUCUUAGGUUUCAUUCAUGGGGCGUACUGAAGGCUGUAGCAUGGAUUAAAACACGCAAAACAACCACAAAGACACACAAAUCUAAUCCAGAAAUGCAAAACGACGACUCAGAGAUGCAAAGACAUCUCAGAAAGAUCUGAAACAGCUGUAAAAACAAAGUGAAACAACAACCAAAAGAGGUGAAACAGCAACUAAAAGAGGUGAAACGACACCCAAAAGAGGUGAAACAGCAACUAAAAGAGGUGAAACGACAACCAAAAGAGGUGAAACGACAACCAAAAGAGGUGAAACAGCAACUAAAAGAGGUGAAACGACAACCAAAAGAGGUGAAACAACAACCAAAAGAGGUGAAACAGCAACCAAAAGAGGUGAAACGACAACUAAAAGAGGUGAAACGACACCCAAAAGAGGUGAAACAGCAACUAAAAGAGGUGAAACGACAACUAAAAGAGGUGAAACAACAACCAAAAGAGGUGAAACAGCAACUAAAAGAGGUGAAACGACACCCAAAAGAGGUGAAACAGCAACUAAAAGAGGUGAAACGACAACCAAAAGAGGUGAAACGACACCCAAAAGAGGUGAAACAGCAACUAAAAGAGGUGAAACGACAACCAAAAGAGGUGAAACGACACCCAAAAGAGGUGAAACAGCAACUAAAAGAGGUGAAACGACAACUAAAAGAGGUGAAACGACAACCAAAAGAGGUGAAACGACACCCAAAAGAGGUGAAACAGCAACUAAAAGAGGUGAAACGACAACCAAAAGAGGUGAAACAGCAACAAAAAAGAGGUGAAACAGCAACAAAAAGAGGUGAAACGGCAACUAAAAGAGGUGAAACGGCAACUAAAAAGAGGUGAAACAGCAACAAAAAGAGGUGAAACGGCAACUAAAAGAGGUGAAACAGCAACAAAAAGAGGUGAAACGGCAACUAAAAGAGGUGAAACAGCAACAAAAAGAGGUGAAACGGCAACUAAAAGAGGUGAAACGGCAACUAAAAGAGGUGAAACGACAACUAAAAGAGGUGAAACGACAACAACCAGAAAAGGUAAAAUAACAACUAAGAGUGAAACAAUUAAAAGUUGAAACUACAACAAUAAGAGGUGAAACAACUAAAAUUGAUGAAACAACAACAAAUCGAGUAAAACAACACCUAAAUAGGUGAAAUAAAUAUAAAAGAGGUGAAACAACCAUAAAUGGACACAAACUGAUCACAAAGACACUAAAACUACCUAAAAGAUGCAAAGAAACGAUGGCCUGUUGUGGGUCAGUCAGUUAAGUUGUGUUGCGUCUCCAAAGGUAACACCGUUCUAUCAUAUUCUAUCAUGUUUGUGUGUCUGUGUGUCAGUUUGUCGCUCUAACUCUUUCUCGUUGUC